CGUCCUUCGGGGCGCGCCUCUCUCUCCCAGGUCCCUUCGGGGCGCCCGCCAGCGGCCGCGAGCCGCCUGAACUUUUUUUAAACCGUAACGAAACGUCUGAGAAACAAACAAAAACAGCCAAAACUUUCAACAACGGAUCUCUUGGCUCUGGCAUCGAUGAAGAACGCAGCGAAAUGCGAUACGUAAUGCGAAUUGCAGAAUUCAGCGAGUCAUCGAAUCUUUGAACGCACAUUGCGCCCGCCAGCAUUCUGGCGGGCAUGCCUGUCCGAGCGUCAUUUCCCCCCUCAGCACGCCCUUUGGGUGCGCUGGCGUUGGGGCUCCUCCGCCCUCUGUGGCGGCAGGGCCCUCAAAUCCAGUGGCGGGCCCGUCUGGUUGGCUCCGAGCGCAGUACCGAACGCAAGUUCUCUCUCUCGCUCUGCAGCCCCGGCCGGCGCCCAGCCGUCAAGCCGCGCAGGCGACCCUCUCGAGGGCCGCCUCGC
rnacentral:rRNA from 1 species